GCCCUCCGAGGGGCCGCGCUUACCCGUCGGGCGAGUACUCGAGGUUGAAGACCGCGCCGUGGGUGCGGGUGCUGAGGUACACCGAGUCCGCGGGAUGGAUGGAACCAUAGAGGCUUUUACACUUUGGGAGCAGCAGCUGAUUCACUCCUGAUGUCUUUGACACCAUUGGUACUGCCCAUCAAAUACAAUUGUUUGUUGGGAACAAGAUCGACAAAAUGAGCAAGGUGGUUGGACAUGGCAAAAAAAGCUGAAAUGGCAGCGACAUCCCAAGCAUCUUCUCGGUUGAAGCCAUGCAUCUCUAACUUUUUGAAAUGGUCAUCUGUUAUGUCAUCACUCGGGAAAUAGCAAGUGCAAACUCCAGCAUUGCCUUUUCCCGAGCAGGGAGGUCAGACUUUCUCCAGUUCACACAGACCUGCAAGAAAACACAGUCAAAAGCAGAAUCUCUGUUCAUCACAAUAUAGCUGAUAAAACAAAAGGUCUAACAAAAUGAAAAACCCUUUAGAAUAAAGGGGCAAAGUCAGGACAAAAUACUUUCCAAUGGAAUACAAACUUGAAACUCUGGCUCAGCCCCACCUCUGCCAAGAAGUCUUCUUUGCUCACUCCAACUAUAAGCACGUCUUGCUCCUCUAAAUACUUACGGCUCCAAAAAUCUCAGAAGCAAGACUCAGAAACUCUAAGUACAUAAGGACCCCAAAUCCAAACUUUUUCUUAUGAGUAAAGAGAAGCUCAGAUAAUUAUCCCUUUGUCCCAAUUAAUCCCAAACAAGAAACAAUAUCUGCAAAAUUAAUAGCUGACACUUACCAAUUACUAUGUGCUAAGGAUGUGCUCAAUGCUUCAUAUUCAUUAUCUUAUUUCUUAUAAAAAUCCUAGGAAGUAGUAUUUUUAUUAUUGCCCCCAUUUUAUUGGCAAAGAAACCAAAGCUCAGGGAGGUCAAGCGACUUCCCCAAGGUCAUACAGUUGGAAAGUGGCAGAGCUGGGAUGUGAUUCAAAGUGUAUUUGAUUCCAAAGAUUAUACUUAUAAUCAUUACCCUUGCUCAAGUAAAAUACUGAAAACCACUAACCACCUAAAAAAUAGAAGAACAGUUCAGCAAACCAUGGUGUGACAGCAUACACUAUGGCCACCAGGGAAGCAAUGCCUAGAGAAUGAUCUUGGAUGAAUAAAGGUCUGGCAACCAGACAGGAGGCUCUCAGCACAGCAAAGAGAGAGAGAGAGAAAGCACAAGCAGAGGGAGAAGCAGACUGCUUGCUGAGCAAGGAGCCCAAUGUGGGACUUGAUCCCAGGACACUGGGAUCAUGACCUGAGCCGAAGGCGGACACUUAACCGACUGAGCCACCCAGGUGUCCCAAGACUAAAAAAAUUUAAAAGGUUCACUCAAGUUAUCACAUUCUUUGAGACACCUAUCCUGGCACCUUCCUCCCCACAGAGUGGUAACCAUUUUAUCCUCUCUACCCGUGGGACUGACACCCUAAUCAGGUUGUUACAGCCACCCUAACCCUUGAUAUUUUCAUGUGGAGACAGCAAACUCCCCCAGGGCAGGGGCCAUGACUCAGCAGACUCCUCAGCUCACUUCCUGGCUCAGAGCAAAUGCCAAAUGCCGACUAGUGUUGUUGAUUGAAAGGAAAAAACAACCCCCCCACCCACUCCUGUGCCUGGGUGGCUCAGUGGACUGGGUGUCCAACUUUUUUUUUUUUUAAAGAUUUUAUUUACUUAUUUGAGAAAGAAUAAGAGAGAGAGGGAGAGCAUGAGAGGGGGGAGGGUCAGAGGGAGCAGAUUCCCGCCGAGCAGGGAGCCCGAUGUGGGACUCGAUCCUGGGACUCCAGGAUCAUGACUUGAGCCGAAGGCAGUUGCUUAACCAACUGAGCCACCCAGGCGCCCCUGGGUGUCCAACUCUUAAUCUCAGCUCAGAUCUUUUUUUUUUUUUUUAAGAUUUUAUUUAUUUAUUUGAGAGAGCGUGCACUAGCGGGAGUGGGGAGAGGCAGAGGGAGAAGCAGACUCCCCGUUGAGCAGGGAGCACUAGGCGGGGUUUGAUUCCAGGAUCCCGAGUUCACGACCUGAGCCACAACCAAGAGUCCGAGGCUUAACCGACUGAGCCACCCAGGCGCCCUCGGCUCCGGUCUUGAUCUCAGGGUCUAGUUCAAGCCAAAGCCCAGCGUAGACCCUACUUAAAAAAAAAAAAAAAAAAAAACCUAAACAAAACGGCCCAAUUUCACCAGUCAACAAAGAAAAGCAACCAUGAAAUGCUACUUUUCCAGCUUCUCAAGUCGUAACGAUUUCUAAAGAGGAAGUUUUGGGAAAUCGUCUGGAAGGCCCAAUCUUUCCGAAGAUCAAUCUGGUAAUUUUGUGGAAGAAAAUCCUGAAAGUGGGGAGGUGUACACCACAAGCAGUCGAUGGCAGCACCACUCUUACAGCUCCGGCUCCAAGCGGGCCGCCCCCAAACAGGGAAUGGGCUUAAUCCACCUGGGCCGAUCUGCUGGGAAGCCCCGACGCGGGGUUGACAGCCAAGCUUGCUCUCCACCUGGGAAGGCCUGCAUUAACUGCAUGGGUCCAGCCUCCUCUGCGUUCCCCAGCCCCACAGCCACUUCUGCAUCCAGAAACGGCAGCACGCGCCGUUUGGAAACGCAAACUUCAUAACCGCGACCCAACCUGACCCCAAGUAUGAACCGCAAGUCGGGGAAGUCCGUAGCCGCAGCAAGGAGCGUUAAGGCCUCCACACACUCGCGGGGAGCCGCGGCUCCCCACUCACCCGCACGCUGGCUGACCUCCGCAAUCCCCAGGCCCUGCCCGCCACGCCAGCCCUGGCCGUGCGAUUUCACUCACCUGCGGCCGCAGGCC